GCGGAAGGAUCAUUGUCGAAACCUGCC
rnacentral:rRNA from 1 species